UACAGAGGGGGCAAGCGUUAUUCGGAAUUAUUGGGCGUAAAGGGCGCGUAGGCGGCUUGGCAAGUGGAUGGUGAAAUCCCUCGGCUUAACCGAGGAACUGCCGUCCAAACUGCUUCGCUUGAGACCAGGAGAGGUGAGUGGAAUUCCCAGUGUAGCGGUGAAAUGCGUAGAUAUUGGGAGGAACACCAGUGGCGAAGGCGGCUCACUGGCCGGUAACUGACGCUGAGGUGCGAAAGCGUGGGGAGCAAACAGG
rnacentral:rRNA from 1 species